rnacentral:rRNA from 2 species
UAGUUGGUGAGGUAACGGCUCACCAAGGCCACGAUGCGUAGCCGACCUGAGAGGGUGAUCGGCCACACUGGGACUGAGACACGGCCCAGACUCCUACGGGAGGCAGCAGUAGGGAAUCUUCCGCAAUGGACGAAAGUCUGACGGAGCAACGCCGCGUGAGUGAUGAAGGUUUUCGGAUCGUAAAACUCUGUUGUUAGGGAAGAACAAGUAUCGGAGUAACUGCCGGUACCUUGACGGUACCUAACCAGAAAGCCACGGCUAACUACGUGCCAGCAGCCGCGGUAAUACGUAGGUGGCAAGCGUUGUCCGGAAUUAUUGGGCGUAAAGCGCGCGCAGGUGGUUCCUUAAGUCUGAUGUGAAAGCCCACGGCUCAACCGUGGAGGGUCAUUGGAAACUGGGGAACUUGAGUGCAGAAGAGGAAAGUGGAAUUCCAAGUGUAGCGGUGAAAUGCGUAGAGAUUUGGAGGAACACCAGUGGCGAAGGCGACUUUCUGGUCUGUAACUGACACUGAGGCGCGAAAGCGUGGGGAGCGAACAGGAUUAGAUACCCUGGUAGUCCACGCCGUAAACGAUGAGUGCUAAGUGUUAGA